rnacentral:rRNA from 1 species
UACGGGGGGGGCAAGCGUUGUUCGGAAUUACUGGGCGUAAAGGGCUCGUAGGUGGCCAACUAAGUCAGACGUGAAAUCCCCAGGCUCAACCUGGGAACUGCGUCUGAUACUGGAUGGCUUGAAUUCGGGAGAGGGAUGCAGAAUUCCCGGUGUAGCGGUGAAAUGCGUAGAUAUCUGGAGGAAUACCGGUGGCGAAGGCGGCAUCCUGGACCGAGAUUGACACUGAUGAGCGAAAGCGAGGGGAGCAAACGGG